CAACUACUCCCUCUAUCCCAAAUUUCUUGUCUUAGAUUUGUCUACAUACGGAUGUAUCUAAUACUAAAUGUGCCUUGAUACAUCCGUAUCUAGACAAAUCUAAGACAAGAAUUUUGGGACGGAGGGAGUACUUU
rfam:Triticum aestivum genome assembly, contig: Triticum_aestivum_CS42_TGACv1_scaffold_226448_3B